UGGGGAAUAUUGGACAAUGGGGGCAACCCUGAUCCAGCAAUGCCGCGUGUGUGAAGAAGGCCUUCGGGUUGUAAAGCACUUUUAUCGGGAACGAAACAUUGUCGGCCAAUACCCGGCAAGACCGACGGUACCCGAGGAAUAAGCACCGGCUAACUCCGUGCCAGCAGCCGCGGUAAUACGGAGGGUGCGAGCGUUAAUCGGAAUUACUGGGCGUAAAGGGUGCGCAGGCGGUCUUGCAAGUCAGAUGUGAAAGCCCCGGGCUUAACCUGGGAAUUGCGUUUGNAACUACAAGGCUAGAGUGCAGCAGAGGGGAGUGGAAUUCCAUGUGUAGCAGUGAAAUGCGUAGAGAUGUGGAAGAACACCGAUGGCGAAGGCAGCUCCCUGGGUUGACACUGACGCUCAUGCACGAAAGCGUGGGGAGCAAACA
rnacentral:rRNA from 1 species